rnacentral:lncRNA from 1 species
CGGAGUGGGGGUCCUUAGCGGCGUCGUCGCCGGGGCUGUGACCGUUGGCAGAGAGGGGUGAUCAAAAAAAUAAUAAAAAAAACAAGAAAAAAAAUAAAGAUAAAAACUUAUAGAAAAAGAAUGAUAAAGAUGAAAUUCCAUCGUUAACUGCAAAAAAAAUUAUAAGUUGCAUUACUUAAAAUGUAAACUGCAACUUUAAGAUGAAAAUUACACCUUUUGGGAGAUAUUUACACUGUUUUUUCUUCUUAUUGCACUCUUUCAGUUGUAAACUGCAUCCAUUAAGAUGAAAGUUACACUCUUUAAACGAAAGUUGCACUGUUUCUCCUCUUGUUGCAUCAUUUCUCCUCUUGCUAUACUGUUUUUUAUCUUAAACUGCACUCAUUUAAGAGAUAUUUAUACUGUUUCUUCUCUUGUUGCACUGUUUUUUUUCUUGUUACACCAUUUAUCCUCCUGUUAUACUAUUUUUUAUCUUAAGCUGCACCCAUUUAAGAGAUAUUUAUACUGUUUCUCCUCUUAUUGCACUGUUUCUUCUCUUGUUGUACAAUUUCUCCUCCUGUUACACUAUUUUUUAUCUUCAGCUGCACCCAUUUAAGAGAUAUUUAUACCGUUUUCCCUCUUGUUGCACUGUUUCUUCUCAUAGCACAAGAGGAGAAAUAAUGCAACAAGAGAAGAAACAGU